AGGUUCCCAUAUUAGAAACCUGUUUUAGUAAAACAGAAUUGGUGAGGGGAUUUUGGUUAACCCUAUGGAAUUUUACUGUACGGACCUCUUGCCCCACAGCACUGUACAAUCUUGUCUACUGGUACGUCCACCUUCUAUAACCUUCAGGCUUCCAAAAUUACCAGGGUCCCAGAUACAGGCAGAAAAAAAACCAAAAGCCGCGGCAGCCUCUCAGCACUGAGCACAAGCCUGGGAGAUGAUGUCUGAUGUGCUCUGCUCGCUUUGGUUCUGUUAAUGAAAGGAAAUGUGUUCUGCCUGACUGGCACAGUCUAUAAAAAGGCCGAUGUUCUCAGGGAGAAGAGCCCAGGAAGCAGACAGAGAGAGCAGCAGCCAGGAAGGGGGGAGUGGACCCAAGAUGCACAAGGGGCCCAGACAGGCUCCACGGGUCAGGCCCCCCACCAGGCAGGUCAGCCUCCACAGCACAAGAUAAUAAUGUCAGAAAGCAAGCACAAGUUACAGUCCGUUUCAAAAAGAUUUCUAUGCCAAAACAGCUAAAGCCAUUUCAGUAUAAACACCCACCCAUUUAGAACCCUGGCCUAGCCCAGAGUGACUCCUUCUCCAUGACGACCAGAGAACCAAUAAUAAUAACCCCUAGUAACCCCAUCAGGAGGUGUUACCAGAUGAAGCUGGCAAGGCAGGAGCUGGUUUUGCUGCCCUGCUCUGACCCAAGAGGCUGCUGCCAAGGAUGCACUGAUCAGUCUCCGUGACAGUAGGAAGCAGUAACCCAUGCUCCUGGGGGCCCUUCAUUGGAAAAACGGCCAGUCACCUCUAAAGCAAAGCGCUUCCCAUCAGGCCGUCCCAGCACGACAGCUCUAAGACCAUGUGGUCCUCUGACCUCCCUAAAGAAAUGAGCCGCUGCUACCUUAGCUUCUCCAGAGGCAGGAGACAAGGUGCUCCCCUGGGAAGGACCAGCCACACAAGCAUUCCAUGCCACUAAGAAGUUUGUUCCUCAAUGUAAGUUUUACAGGAGCACGUUGGAGCCCUCUGGCUUACAGCAAUCUUCCAAUCAGUCAAUUCACAAGUGGAAUGGGCUGCCUAGGCAGGUAGUGAGCUCCCCUCACUGGAGCCUUUGAUGAGUCCGAUUGUUGGGACUGAAGGCGAAGAAAUCCCUUCCCAGGUCUGGGUUAAACAAGAAGGCCACUGGGCUCCCUCUCGACUUGAAAUUCUGUGAUUCUA